CUUUCUUCCAGAGAUUGUGCACCACAACUCUUAAAUGAAACAUCAAGUGACACUGUAUUUUUAAUGUUUCUUCUAAAUGUGAAGAUGGAGGGUGUUCUGGGUGUUACGCUGCAUCUGUGUGUGUGCAAACUGAUGAGCAGCAUGCUGUUGUGUUCGUCUGUAAUCACACACACCAUCACUGCGGUCAGUCUGUGCUGCAGCUGCCUGCUGUUAUUUACAGACCUCGCUGUCACUGUGUUUUUGCUCUACAUCUGGUUCAUGGAGUCCUGGUUGACGCCUUUUUACGCGUCUUCGGAUGUCAUCGCCCUUCGAUUUCUGCUCUUCCUUUGCAAGGCCUAUGGAGUUGUGUUACUGCUGAUGCCGCCUUUGAUUGCUGUGGAGUUGUUGGUUGAUCUGCUGUGUCCUCAAAGUGGGCGAACGAAGGGUAGAGAUGCAAGCGAAUCCCUCUCUAGUACAGUUGGCUAUUUGGGAUGUUUUCUAGCAUGGAGCAUGAGCGGGAUCUACAGCAGCCACGACUGGAUGCUGGAGCAGAUCUCAGUGGAAACCUGUCAAGGAAAAGGUGGCCAUCUUCUCACGUGCCUUCCCAGCGCUGAUGAGUCUUCCUGGGUUCUUCCUUCUAUGGUGGUCCUGUUGAGUUUAACAGGGAGCCUGGGUCUGUUCAGGACGAAGGCAUCCAGAAGAUUGCCUGACUCAUCUAAAAACACACAGAUGGGCAAGAAAAAGGACUAUUUGGGCCCUGGGCUAAUGCAUAUGUCACAAACUCUGGUUGACUCAGAAAAAACACCCAACAGCUGUGGCGUACACAUGGCCGGGUUUGUGAACAGUGAGCCACGACAGAUCUGUCCUGGGAAUGGUGUACUGUGCGCUCAACAAACCGGUUUGGCAGACAGUAUCAAGAAACAAAAGCAAUCAUCCAGCUUUGCAACAUUUGCACAGUCCAAAACCGAUCUUUCUCUGGAAGUCACAUCAUUGGCUGUCUUUAACAGGACAGACGCAAAGUCUCAAAGCAGAUGCUAUUGGUUUCCCAAAAGGGAAAGUCCCUGCUCAGGGCGAGAAAUCUUCACAGGGUUGGUAUGCGUGGCUCUAGUUUGUGUUUUUCCCACAGUCAUCAGUGGUAAUAUUCUCCUAAUCUUUAAUCUGGAGAAUCUGGUGGUGUACAACUUAAAACUCUUAUCUCUAUCAGUUAACAGAGUACCGGAUCUGUAA
ensembl:lncRNA